CAGAAUCAGAUCUCUUCUCCCUCCCCACUCCUAUGAGAUUUUUUUGGAUCUUCAGCUACAUUUUCGGCUUUCUGAGAAACCCUAUCAUCAAACACAAUGGCCAGCAACGUUACCAACAAGACAGAUCCUCGUUCCAUGAACACCCGUGUAUUCACUGGGAAUCUCAACACUCUUGUGGUCAAGAAAUCUGAUGUGGAGGCAAUCUUUCCGAAGUAUGGCAAAAUUGUGGGCUGCUCUGUUCAUAAGGGCUUUGCUUCAUUCAAUAUGUUAAUGAGAGAAAUGCCCAGGCUGCUGUAGCAGGAGAGGAUGGCAGAAUGAUUGCUGGUCAGGUUUUAGGUAUUAACCUGACUGCAGCACCAAAACUGAACGGAGGAAAAGCAGACGUGAAACAAUCUGCAGCGAUGUACCGCUCUUCUUUUGACCUGGACUAUGAUUUUCAGCGGGAUUAUUGUAAUAGGAGGUACAGUUACCCAGCAUGUGUACCUCCUCCUCCUCCUAUUGCUGGAGGUGUAGUGCCCUCGAAACAUCCGUGUGUAUCAGGAAACACCUCAAGAAGGGAAAAAAGUGGCUUCAAUUUUAAGAGUGGACAGCGGGUAUCUUCCAAGUCUGGAAAGUUGAAAGGAGAUGACCUUCAGGCGGUUAAGAAGGAAUUGACCCAGAUAAAACAAAAAAUGGAUUAUCUCCUGGAAAACCUGGAAAAAAUUGAAAGGGAACAGAGCAAACAAGCAGUAGAGAUGAAAAAUAAGUCAGAAGAGGAGCAGAGCAGCAGCUCCUUGAAGAAAGAUGAGACUAAUUUGAAGUUGGAGUCUGAGGGGGGUGCAAAUAACCCUGCUGAGGAGGGGGACCUACUGGAUGAUGAUGAUAAUGAAGACUUGGGGGAUGACCAGCUGGAGUUGAUCAAGGAUGAAGAAAAAGAGGCCGAGGAAGGAGAGGAUGACGGAGACAGCGCCAAUGGUGAGGAUGACUCUGAAGCACAUAGUGAGGUUUAGAAAUUUUAUUCCAUUAUUUCUUUACCUAGGCACUUGUCUGAGAUCAAAUUUUUCACCAGA